rnacentral:rRNA from 1 species
AAUAGAUACCCAGGUAGUCCACCCCGUAAACGUUGGGAACUAGUUGUGGGGUCCAUUCCACGGAUUCCGUGACACAGCUAACGCAUUAAGUUCCCCGCCUGGGGAGUACGGCCGCAAGGCUAAAACUCAAAGGAAUUGACGGGGACCCGCACAAGCGGCGGAGCAUGCGGAUUAAUUCGAUGCAACGCGAAGAACCUUACCAAGGCUUGACAUACACGAGAACGGGCCAGAAAUGGUCAACUCUUUGGACACUCGUGAACAGGUGGUGCAUGGUUGUCGUCAGCUCGUGUCGUGAGAUGUUGGGUUAAGUCCCGCAACGAGCGCAACCCUCGUUCUAUGUUGCCAGCACGUAAUGGUGGGAACUCAUGGGAUACUGCCGGGGUCAACUCGGAGGAAGGUGGGGAUGACGUCAAAGUCAUCAUGCCCCUUAUGUCUUGGGCUUCACGCAUGCUACAAUGGCCGGUACAAAGGGCUGCAAUACCGUGAGGUGGAGCGAAUCCCAAAAAGCCGGUCCCAGUUCGGAUUGAGGUCUGCAACUCGA